UAAAAUAAGAAUUCAGAAACUAUAAACCGGCUCUCUUCUAGCUUACGACACAAACUAUGAGUGAGAAAAGGACAAAUGAUUCGCUCUUUGCUUCAUUUUUUCCGAGGUUGUCACAACAUGAAAUGUCAUUUGGACCUAUUGGACUCAUUUUAACUCGGCCAAAUACAUAGUAACAUACAUAAGAAGAUUUUACUUAUAUUUACCGAACUAUUUGACACGGUCGCGUCAACUGUGUUUACGAGUGUCUUGUGUUCAGAUUGUUUUAAGUGAUAAUUUAACAAUAUUUUUCCAAAUAAAUGGAAAGAAACUUUUAUUUAUAUCAAAUAAUUGAGUGUCUCGACUGUGUGACAUUAUGUCUUUUGUGGUAUGGGGCUGCAGCUCACAUUCAGGAAGAAAAGAAAAUAGCCAACAACUUCUGUCGUUUCAUCGAUAUUAAAUCCAAAAGUGUCGACUGGAUUUACAUGAAAAGUCAGUUCAAGAAGACGAGAUGAAAAAUUUAAAAGAAAAGCUGAACAAGUCCCGCCUCAAGAUCAAACGACUUAAUGAAAAAAAAAAAAAACAAUGUGACAGGGUGUCACAAAGACAGUUUCUAAGCAAAUUGACACUGUUUAGAAAUUAAUAAAUUUGUAUUUAUUGUAAAUAUAAUGUACAUAAUUAAUAACGUGUGAA